AAUUCACCACGAACAGAAAUGAAGAGAAUUGGAAAAGAGACAAGAUAAGAUUUAAACACAUCAGACCGUUUUGAUCAUUAAAAGAAUCGAUGAAGCUGCAUACAAGUUUGUGAUGCCUUCAGAAUUGGCUAAGGCACAUAAUGUAUUUUGUGUUCGAUGCGUUGUCACUAGGUGGCAGAUUUGUCACAUGGGAUUAUGGUGUAACUAUUGAGAAUUAAAUUGGAUUCGACUUGAUAAGGAACCAAGGACGACUUUGGAUUGGAAAAAGAAGGUCCUGAGAAUUAAGAAGACAGUAAGUAAGUAGUAAAAGCUUUGUGAAGGAAAUCAUUCAGUAGAAAAAGUAUGUGGGAGAAAGAGAAUCGGAUGAGAAAGAUUUACCCGAAGCUAUUGUUGGAGUAUGGUUGAUUUAGUUGGUUGCUGGAAUUUCGGGGACGAAAUUCUAUAAGGAGGAAAGAUUGUCACAGCCCGUCCCGGAAUUUUAAUUCCGAGGACAUGAAAAGACGAAAAUGCCCUUAAACGGGACUAAGGGGCGAAAAUUUAACAAUUUGGAUUGAGUUGGACACGUGGGAUCCCCACAUCCCUCAAAACCUUCCCCAAUUCCCGUACCUUGUCUCUCUAUCUCUCUUCCCUCACGACUCUCUCUCACUCUCAGUUCUCUCUCUUCCUCUCCGACGCUCAACCUCACCCAAAACCACCUAAAACAUAAACAAACGUCCAAGAUAAGACCACAUUUGGACUCCUGGAACUUCCACGAUCACGUAGACACCAAUUUCAGGUAAGUUUUGCUUCGAAAAACCCUAGUUUCAAAGUUCCCGUGAAAUGGUACUGUUCAUGAUCUUUUAAAUGGUUACGAUUUUAGGCUAAAACAAGAUCACAGCGAGCUUAGUGAGGUCCCAAGGAAGCUCGGAGUGCUUUCGUUGGAAGUUUUUGGACGUAAAAACACGGAGAUCGACAAGUUCAAAGUUUGGCCGGAGCUUUCGAGGCAUUUUUCCGGCGAAUCCUCCGGCGAUUUAGGAGUCGAGGUAGGUAUCAAUCUCUUCGUCUCGUCAAGUACUACAACUUUCCUUUUUUUUUCACUCAAUUUCGUUGAGUAUUGAAGAAGUUAUACUCAUUUGAAAAAUACCCAGUUUCCGGCGACCUCCGAGGCUUUCGAGGCAGUUUCCGGCCAAACUACGGCGAACUAGGUAUUGUGCAAGGUACCAUUCUCUUUGUCUCUUCAAGGGCUACAACUUUCGUUUUUGAAUCACUUGAUUUCGUUGAGAAAUGACAAAGUUAUAGCAAUUUGAAAAACUGCCCAGAAAACGGCCGCCGGAAAAACCAGUCCGGCGACCCAAGGAAGAAGAAGGUGCUACAGUAAAAAUAAAAAAUAAAAAUAAAAUUAUUUUAAAAAUAUGUCGACGUCGACGUCGUGACGUCGAGUAGAUCACUGUGGUAUAUUCAUAUACCUAAAUUGAACACCGUAUGAGAAAGUUAUUGAAGAUUGUUGGUUAGGUGUUCAAAUAACGUUUUAUAGUUUUCACAUUUAGGUGAAAAUGUGAAUUGAUGAUCCGACCGUUGGAUCGUCACCAAACUUUGAUACGUUGUAAUACGUAAUAUUUGAGGAUUAUUGGAACUUACGGAUUGGGAAUCCGAGUUACGGAUCUUCCGGAAUUGGAAUUGUAAGUCCAUAAUAUAAAAUGUUAACCGUCACUUAGUAGUUUUGGAAAUUGACGGAGAUCCGACCGUUGGAUGGUAAUGAAAUUUUAGGAUGUUAUCCUAGAGAUAUAUUGUGGACCUCUGGAAGUUAUGGAUUUAAAAUCUGAGUGGCAGAUCUUCCGGAUCGAACUACGUAGUGACGUAUUUUAUAUAAGUUAUAUAUAUUCUAUCGAUAUGAAUUCUGAGGUUGGAUUUGAUUACUAUUCUAGGCGGCGAUCGUCGUGACGCCUUGAUGUGUGGUGCUAGGGAGUUGUUGGGCGAACUCCAGGUGAGUGGGCAGUUUUGUUUUCCGUAUAUAUAUAUAUAUAUAUACUUAACGUUUCCCAGAAAUUGAAAAUGCAUGAAAAUUAUGUUUAAAAUGAAAUGCAUAUGAGUUAUGUGGAAAAACGGGAAGUGAAAUACCAUGCAUAGAAUUGAUAUGAAAAGUAUAUAGAAAUGUGAGUUGAAAUGCCAUGCAUGAAUUAAUAUAUGAUGCAUAUGUAUGAAUUGGUGCGGUGGACGCACAGGUAAGAAUUGAUUUAUGAUGCAUAUGUAUGAAAUGGUGCGGUGGACGCACAGAUGAGUAUUUAAUUACUGUUAUGAUGAUGAUGAUAUAUAUUGAGCUCAAAUCCUGCACCAUGGUUUAGUGCUUAUAGUAUUCACCGCAUCGCACGCUCGCCUUGGAUCCAAGUAGAUGCUAGUCGUACAGUCCACGCGGAGUGGGUACGACAGACCAGUCGCGAGAGUGUUAGUGAGAUUCCGACUGGUGGGUGACCUUAGAUUAUGUGCACAGAUGAUUUAUGAGAAGCACUAGAGCGUAACUUGUGUGCAGAAGGCCGGACGGGUCACAGAGGUGACUCCGGUAGAGUGAUAAUGAUAGAUUUUGAGCUCUAGGUUCAACCGUAUAGGGCUAUUAGAGGGCCUACGGUUGAUUACUUUCUUGCACCUGAUAUGAUUAUGUUGAUGCAUUCAUACCUUAUUACUGUUGAGAUGAUGUGGCAUGGCAUAAUUAAUAUGAGAAAUGUUGAGAUGACAUGGCAUGGCAUGAUUGAUAAAGAAAAAUGUUGAGAUAGUAAAAAAUGAAGUUUGAGAAUAUAUAUGUAUAUUUAUAUUUUACAUUUCUGGGAAAGUAUACAGGUUUUACGGAGAGGGGUUACAACGUUUUGAGAAAUGUUUGGAUUUGGAAAAAGAAUUGUUUUACUGACCCACUCAAUUUUGGUUUUGCGCCCCUCCAGGUUCAGGAAUCACAAAGGUGUGGUGACUACGAGGAAUUCGACGGUGUUCUGACAGAUUGGACAAAAUUAGGACUCACCUUCGGGUGUAUCAAUUUAUAAAUUGUAUCUUAAAGCUUCCGUACUGUGCAAAUGGUUACGUCACUCUCACGUGACGGCCAGCAUGCCCUCCUUCGGGACGGGGUGGGGUGUGUCAGUUGGUAUCAGAGCAUGGUUGCAAUCUUGGACAUCUUGAGAAGUUUCUAGUGAAUUCUGUCAGAACUACACCGCCUCGUAGCAAACCACGUAGUUAGAGGAAUUUAGUCUCCCUGAUUUAGCGGGUUAGGGGAAACUAUUCUUAUGGUGAUUCAGUAUAUUAGAAAAAUGGACAUUUUAAGACGGGUUAUGAGUUGAAUUUGAAUCACUUAAGAGAAAUGAUGAACCUGAGGGAGCGAAGUAACGGUUUAACAUAACCAUUUGGAAAAGAUGUUUCGGAUUAUGCAAGUCAAAGGAAUCUUCCUUCUGACAAGGGGUCGAGAUGACUACCUGGUUUUGAGUUAUGAACGUGUAUCCUGGAUGGAAGCAGGAGUAUUAAUUGUUGUCACCAGAGGAAUCAGCCGAUUUAAAAUUGUUUAAGGACUUGUUUAAGGAAAAGUUUUAUCCCUCCGGCAUUUAUCGAUGGUAGUAAACAAGAGUUUACAAAUAUGAGACAAGGAAGGUGAUGAUCGAGGGAUAUUAUAGAAAGUUUUCAGACUUGCCUCGUUCCAUCCAGAUAUUGUUGUUAAUUUGGUGGAGGUGUUAUGUUGUUUUAAGCUGGGUGGCAAAAAAGGGAAGUGGUAUUUUGGGUGACCACUAUCCAUUAUACUUCUUACCAGGAAUAUACGAGAUGCUGUUGAGUCUUGAGGACUCUGAGAACAUGAGCAACGAGAAUAAAUAAGAAGAAUAAGAAAUGAAUGGGAAUUAAAAGAAGACGAUAAAGUUAAUGAUUCGUCAUAUCAAGGAUAUAGAAAGAUUCAGAGCUUCGAAAGAAGUGAAGCUAGAGUUAAUUCUUCCAGCUGAGGUUUUAAUGUCGCUGGUCAGAGUAAAAGUGAUGGAUAUACUGGUAAUCCCAGAUAUUUGAGACAAGGUGUCUCGAGUAAAGGAAAUGUACCUUGUGCAGCAGGUACAAAAUUAACACUUUGGGAAGUGUGAAAUUAAUGAAUGUGUUUAUGUGAACAGAGGGGACACAGAAUUGUGAAUCGUCCCUAGAAUCAGUUGUACCCAACAGUUUUUCUAUGACAUCAUAGUGUUGAUUCAGCAGAGUUAUGGAUUUAGUAGUUUGGUCGGAUUGACCGUGAGUACAGAGAGAUUUGAUGAGUUAUAUGUUCAGCCGUACAGACCAUGAGAAGUGGAUUCGAUUGACACAUGAGAAAUUGGUGAGUUAUAGGCUCGGCCGUACCGACCACGCGGAGUGGAUCCGGCCGACGUAUUAUUGAGAUAAGAGUUGAUCAUCCAGCCGUAUUGGUCAUUCUAGUUGACUUCGGCUGAUAUAUUUCUUAUUAUGUAUGUUAUUACCUAGAGAGUAGUAAAUAAAUGUAGUUGAGACGAGUGUAUGUAUUUUGCAUUGAGUGACAAAAUAGUAAUGUUAUAUCUUUGUGAGUGGUUGCCUACUUAUCGAGACAACGAUGAUUUAUCAGUAUUGCGGGCUGCAGACCGUAAUAUUAAUAACUCAUUCGUGGAUUCGUUAAGUAAGUAAACCGGUAGAUUAUGUUUUUGUACUUAUUCAGAAUGCUUAGUAGUAAUAGAGUAUGUAUUGUGUCGGUUAAAUUAUUUCCAUUAGAUUGGUUGGUUAUAAUUGUGACAAGACGGAAUGUUAAGGGAAACCAGUACUUUCCAUCGAUCUGGAUGACCAGAGAUUACUUUUGUAAGUAUGCAAAGUGGAUUGAGUUCAGCCAUUAUUUAUGCUGUGAGAGCAAAGAGAUUGUUUUCGAAAGGCUGUCAAAAAUACUUAGCUCAUGUGGUGCUAAAUGAUGUUGUUUGGAGUAGUGUGAAUAAUGUCGAAAGAGUUAGACUUUUCUUGAUGUCUUCCCUUGAAAGUAUACCUGGAUUGCCUUCAGGCAGAGAUAUGAGGUUCACUAUUGAUUUGUUGCCAGGUAUAAAUUUAUAUUGGAGAUUGGUUCAUGAUGAGUUAAGGGAAUUGGAAAUUCAGUUGAGGAAUUGGUUGAUAAAAGUUUUAUUCAACCUAGUACAACACUUUUGAGGAGCCCCAGUUUGUUGGUGAGGAAGAAAAUGGAUCUUGAGACUGUUCAUUGAUUAUAGACAAUGGAGUCGGGUAACGAUUGAGAACCGUUAUCCAUGGUGAUGUACUGAUGUUUAUUUAACCAGCUCAGAAGUAAUUGCGAAGAUUCAAAGAUUGAAUUGAGAUCUGGUUACUACCAAUUGAAUAUUAUAAGUGACGUUGAUCAUAAGAUGGUUUUCUGGACUUGUUAUGGUCCUUAUAAAGUUUGGUGAUGCUAUGUGGAUACUCAUGCGGUUUUAUGAGUUGAUGGAUGAAGUAUUCCAAUAAUGCCUUGAUAAUUGAUAUCAUUUUCAUUGAAGAUAUUCUGGCAUAUUCUGAGCCAGAGCAGAGCAUGUAAACGUAUUAAGUCGGUAGAAGCAAAGAUUGGAAGAACGUUGGAUUGUAUGCUAAGUUUAGCAAAUGCGAAUGUUGGAUGAAUCAAGCAGCAUUUCUGGGAUAUGUUAUAUAUUCUUAAGGUAUUCAAGUGAAUCCUUAAAAGGUAGCAGAAAUUGAAAAUUUGGAACAACCACGAGUCGUAAUUGAGAUUUGGAAUUUCUUAGCUUACCAGGCUAUCUUGGAUGGUUGUGAAAGAUUUUUCAGUCAUUGCUUUGUCAUUGACGAGACUGUUGAGAAAAGAGGUUAGGUAUGAGUGGGAAGGAAUUGUAAGCAAAGGAUUCAACAACUGAAGUAUUUCCUCACUCAUGCACGUAUUUUGGUAUUCCCAGAGAAUAGUGGUAAUCAUAAAUUUUUAGUGAUGUUUCUUGAAUGGUAUUGGAGGCAUGUUGAUGCAAAUGUUAGGGGUGAUUGCAUACGUUUCACGAUAAAUGGAAUCUCAUAAGAUGAAUUACCCUACUGGUGAUUUGGAAGUCACGAUUACCAUUCUUGCUGUGAAGUUAUGGAGACAUUAUAUUUUAGUGGGAAUGCAAGAUUUUUUUUUACGAAUCCAAAAAGUCUUCAAUAUCCAUUACUUGGAAGGAAUUUGAUAUGAGGCAGCGAAAGUGAAUUGUAUUGCUUAAUGAACAUGAUUGUACGAUCAGGGUGAUCGUAAAGUUUGUUCUAGCUGAAGCACUUGGUGAGAAGACUACAGUAAGAUUAAUAUCUGGCACGUUUGCCAAGAGUAUCAUUUUGUGGAUUGAAAACCAACGGAAGAAAAAUUAAGAAUGGAAGAUCGAGAAGAAGUUAUACUUGUUAAGUAACAAGUUAGUACAUUUACCCCAGUGUUGAGUAACAACCUUUCCCAGACAGUGCAACACUACUUAUUUGUUUUAUGGAAAAGAGAAUUGGAUUACGGAACUGCUAAGUUUUCUUAAGUAUGUUGGUUGUGCAGUUUCCGAAGUAACGCCAUAUAAGGACCAUGAAAUGUGUCACGUGAGUCGGUUUUUGAUGACUUGUGAAUGGAAUGUUUCUGGGUAGAGAAAGAUUCGAUCGAGAAAGAGUUUUAGUAGACCCUGAGACUAUGGAUGAGUCUCCUCAAAGUAUUCAGGUGAUUAAGUUAACCUGAAGUAACCAGGAAUGGCAAAAGAGAUCAACAGAUGGAUAUGCCACUAAUCGAGUGUGUAAGGUAAAUGGUUUGAUAUUUUUGGAAAAUUCACCACGAACAGAAAUGAAGAGAAUUGGAAAAGAGACAAGAUAAGAUUUAAACACAUCAGACCGUUUUGAUCAUUAAAAGAAUCGAUGAAGCUGCAUACAAGUUUGUGAUGCCUUCAGAAUUGGCUAAGGCACAUAAUGUAUUUUGUGUUCGAUGCGUUGUCACUAGGUGGCAGAUUUGUCACAUGGGAUUAUGGUGUAACUAUUGAGAAUUAAAUUGGAUUCGACUUGAUAAGGAACCAAGGACGACUUUGGAUUGGAAAAAGAAGGUCCUGAGAAUUAAGACAGAGUAAGUAGUAAAAGCUUUGUGAAGGAAAUCAUUCAGUAGAAAAGUAUGUGGGAGAAAGAGAAUCGGAUGAGAAAGAUUUACCCGAAGCUAUUGUUGGAGUAUGGUUGAUUUAGUUGGUUGCUGGAAUUUCGGGGACGAAAUUCUAUAAGGAGGAAAGAUUGUCACAGCCCGUCCCGGAAUUUUAAUUCCGAGGACAUGAAAAGACGAAAAUGCCCUUAAACGGGACUAAGGGGCGAAAAUUUAACAAUUUGGAUUGAGUUGGACACGUGGGAUCCCCACAUCCCUCAAAACCUUCCCCAAUUCCCGUACCUUGUCUCUCUAUCUCUCUUCCCUCACGACUCUCUCUCACUCUCAGUUCUCUCUCUUCCUCUCCGACGCUCAACCUCACCCAAAACCACCUAAAACAUAAACAAACGUCCAAGAUUUAAGACCACCAUUUGGACUCCUGGAACUUCCACGAUCACGUAGAGACACCAAUUUCAG
rnacentral:lncRNA from 1 species